AGAAUACGGAAGUGCCAUUGGCAAUGGAAAUGCAAGCACUGUCUCCAAAAAAACGUAAACCAGUUGCUGAAAAUACAGCUAAGGAGUCUGCAACCUACAACAGGGCAAAUCUUACUGAUAAUGGACAUAUAUGCUUUCUUAUGUUUCAAGUACGACGGUCUCCCUAUGUGCUGCACAACUCUAGCAUAUGGGAGGAUUGAUACUGCUGUUUCAUCUCUUACAAUGAGAGCCUUGGCAGAGCAGCUUCAAAGACAGUGUAUGAAUCCAGGCUCUUUUCUUUCAUGAUUAGUUCCCAUUUAGAAUUUUCUUUU